rnacentral:rRNA from 1 species
GACGAACGCUGGCGGCGCGCCUAACACAUGCAAGUCGAACGGAGUCAAGAGGAGCUUGCUUUUCUUGACUUAGUGGCGAACGGGUGAGUAACGCGUGAGUAACCUGCCCUGGAGUGGGGGACAACAGUUGGAAACGACUGCUAAUACCGCAUAAGCCCACGGAUCCGCAUGGAUCUGCGGGAAAAGGAUUUAUUCGCUUCAGGAUGGACUCGCGUCCAAUUAGCUAGUUGGUGAGGUAACGGCCCACCAAGGCGACGAUUGGUAGCCGGACUGAGAGGUUGAACGGCCACAUUGGGACUGAGACACGGCCCAGACUCCUACGGGAGGCAGCAGUGGGGGAUAUUGCACAAUGGGGGAAACCCUGAUGCAGCGACGCCGCGAGGAGGAAGAAGGUUUUCGGAUUGUAAACUCCUGUCGUUAGGGACGAUAAUGACGGUACCUAACAAGAAAGCACCGGCUAACUACGUG